rnacentral:lncRNA from 1 species
AUAUAAAUACCACAAAAAUGUAUAUUGUUGAGCUUGAAUGCGAUAGUAGGCGUGAUAAUUUUGAAUUUGAAUUUUACGCAUAUAUUGUUCAAAUAAUUUAUAGUAGGAGCUUAAAAACUAAAAUGCAAACAAGUUUAUACAAACCGUAAACCACCGAACCAUACAAAGAGGUUUCUAGGCGAGUGGUGGUGGAUGACAUUUAGAAGAAUGGAAGAAAGGGUUUUAAAGGCAAAAUAUGACAUUUAGAAUAAUGGAAAUUUAAUGGCAAAUAACAAGAAAGGAACCGUUGAAAAUUUUAUGGAAUUGAUUUGUUCCCUACAAACAGAGUAUAUGUAUUAAUAGACUAAUACCACCCGGGGUGUGUCUGUGUGUGAAAAACUGAAGUGGGAAUGAGGUUUCUGGCGAUGUUUUCUCGUUUUUGCUCUUAAGUUAUGGAGACAUUACCUGUAUGGCACCAAGUGUGUGACCAUGAGAGCCUAAAAUACAUAUUUAAUGUAUUAAAUUUUAUUAAACCCUAUUUUUAUGGUUUCCUAGGGUGUGUAUUUUGUUCACCAGAGGAAACCAAGACUGACUAAUAGUUUAUUUCCCCUUUAGGGGUUAUAAAUACAAAUGUUCCUCGUUUCUUUUUGUUUCCUAGGGUGUGUAUUAUGUUCACCCGAGGAAACCAAGAUGAACAACCGUGUCAAAACAGUAAAUAUACCAGGUGCUGCUGAUAAACCUUAAACCUCUCCUUCCCAAACCUUAAAUCAGUUCAUCCUCAAAUGAACCCUAGUUUUAGCGAAAUCAAAGUUCCUUUGGUCGCUAGAAUCCCUUUGGUAACGAAGAUCGCUCUGGAAGGAUUAUUACGCCAAGCUUCUUUGUCCCUUGUGUGUGGGAAUGGAAUUCUAAUCGGGAAUGUAAGCAGAAAUUUUGGUCGUCCUUAUUAUAAAUGCCCAGGGGUUCUGAUAAGGAAAAUGGAAUCCCUUCUACUCAUUUGCGGAUGAACUUAAGCAGUGUCCCUGCGGGCGUGGCUAUUGCCGCACCGUGUUUCCUAAGGGAAUAAAACAUUGGUGCUGUUGUGUUAGAAGGGCUUUCAUAUUCAAGUAUGUUUGUUUAUAGAGUUGUAUUAAGUUCAUGUGUGCAUGGGCAGGGAGAUGGUGCCUGCAGUUUCUUUGCGAGAAUCGAGUCCACCUUCGAGUUCCACUCCCCCGCCACAUUGUCAGUCUCCUUCCAAGCCGAGCCCCGACUCGAUUUCAGUCUUCCUUCCUGGUCUCCUUCCAGUAGCCAAGAAGCACAUGUGCUAAAGAAGAAAAAUGAGUUACUUUUCCAAAACACUAUGCAAGGGUUAAAGGUUUUGGAAGCCAAAUUGGAUUUGUUGGCACGACCUCAGGAUCCUUCUCAAUCAACUGCAGCAAUUCGUGAGCUUAUAGCUUCAAUUGAUGAAAUUACUGUUGAUGAUUAAUGACCUCUUUGUUCAGUACACUUUGAACUUUUUUUACUAUCUUGUCAUCCAGGAAUUUAUUCCCUCCGCCUCUUCUACACCACCGAUAACCCUAACCUAGCGUCAUUAUUCCUAAUACAAAAUGAAAACCAGAAAAAGAUCUCAUGAAAGCUCAACUUCUCAUUGCUCAUCAAAUUGCAAAAGGAAAAAGAUGGAUGAUUUGGAAUGGUGUCAGCAUGAUGAAAAAUUCUUGACACUGUUAGCCAAUGUGCGCGACGAAGAAGAAGUGUCUAUGGGGACACAUACCAAUAAUGCAUUUUAUAAAAAAAUUUGCUGCUAGACUUUCAGCCGAUGCAGGUGUUUCUAUAUCAGAUAAUGAUGUUGCUGAUCGUGUGCGGCAUCAUAGAAGUGUUUAUAACAGUUAUAAGCCUGACCCGGAUAAAUUCCAGCAUGCUUUUAUUAACAGUUCUGAAUACUGCCAGUUGCUUACAAGAUGCUUCGCUGUUGCGAAGAAGAACAUAAGAGUCCCGCGAAAUCUGGGAAGUAGGCCAUCUCACAGUUUUGGUAGCACUUCCUCCAUAGCUCGAACUGCAGCUCCGGUAGCCACCGACCCCCAAUUAACAUUGGAGGACGAGCUUGCCCGUGUUCUUUCACACCUACAUAGCCAACAUGGAAUGCAUGCCAACACAUUAACGCUCUUUUCAUCUUACUGUGAGAGAAAUCGGUUGGCUAGUCUAGCGUUUUUGAAGUUGGUAGGGCAGUUAUAACAAUUAAAAGAGCUGUGGGGGACUGGGACUCUUGCUGCUGUCUUCCUCUUCAAGGUUCAAGCUGUAUGUUUGUAUUUCAAAUGGAGUUAAGACAAUUUCUAAAUUUUUAAGACAAUUUUUAAUGUUUUUAGCUGUAUGUUCUAAGGUACCUGUAGUUAUGGU